GGGGAUAUAGCUCAGUGGUAGAGCACUUGUUUAGCAUAUAUGAGGCCCUGGGUUCCAUCCCCAAAACUGCCU
rnacentral:tRNA from 1 species